rnacentral:tRNA from 1 species
UGAGGCAUAGCAUAAAAUAAUGUAUUUCACUUACACUGAAGAGAUGGUUUAGAGAGAAACCUGCCUUGA